rnacentral:tRNA from 1 species
GUGAGAAGCAUUAAAAUGCAUUUAGUUUCGACCUAAAAGAUGAGAAUUCCCACU